UGGGGACACCGGGACUGGGAUGGGGACACUGAAACUGGGAUGGGGACACCGGGACUGGGAUGGGGACACUGAAACUGGGGUGGGGACACCGGGACUGGGAUGGGGACACUGAAACUGGGGUGGGGACACCGGGACUGGGAUGGGGACACUGGGACAGAAACACCAAACCUGGACCAGCCCCAACCCCCCCGCAACCACUGCCACUCCCUCGGGCACUCCCGGAGGUGCCACCACGCUGUCCCCAGGUGUCCCCAGGUGAGGUUUGAGGGGGCACAGGCUGUCCCCAGGUGUGUCCCAGGUGUACCCAGGUGUGUCCCCAGGUGUACCCAGGUGUGUCCCAGGUGUACCCAGGUGUGUCCCCAGGUGUACCCAGGUGUGUCCCAGGUGUACCCAGGUGUGUCCCCAGGUGUACCCAGGUGUGUCCCAGGUGUACCCAGGUGUGUCCCCAGGUGUACCCAGGUGUGUCCCAGGUGUACCCAGGUGUGUCCCCAGGUGUACCCAGGUGUGUCCCAGGUGUACCCAGGUGUGUCCCCAGGUGUACCCAGGUGUGUCCCAGGUGUACCCAGGUGUGUCCCCAGGUGUACCCAGGUGUGUCCCAGGUGUACCCAGGUGUGUCCCCAGGUGUACCCAGGUGUGUCCCAGGUGUACCCAGGUGUGUCCCCAGGUGUACCCAGGUGUGUCCCAGGUGUACCCAGGUGUGUCCCCAGGUGUACCCAGGUGUGUCCCAGGUGUACCCAGGUGUGUCCCCAGGUGUGCCCAGGUGUGUCCCAGGUGUACCCAGGUGUGUCCCCAGGUGUGUCCCCAGCUGUCCCCAGCUGUAUCCAGGUGUAUCCCAGGUGCCCCCAGCUGUCCCCAGCUGUAUCCAGGUGUAUCCCAGGUGCCCCCAGCUGUCCCCAGCUGUAUCCAGGUGUAUCCCAGGUGCCCCCAGCUGUCCCCAGCUGUAUCCAGGUGUAUCCCAGGUGCCCCCAGCUGUCCCCAGCUGUA
rnacentral:lncRNA from 12 species